GGGAAGGGUGUCGCUGAGGAAACAAAACGCAGACCCCCCAGGCCUCUGAGUGAAGGGUGGGAGCUUGCGGGGAAAACACUUCCACCGGAGAAGCACAAAGGACCCCAGAAGUAGAGGAAGCUGGCCUGAGGCCAACCGGAGCUCCGUGCCCUGAUCCCCUGAUCCUCCAAUCUGACAGCAGUGUUUGCAAAGGUGGAGGAAACGACAAUCAAAAAAUCCGAGGAAGGGGUGAGGACUCAUGCCCACUCCCUCCCCCUGCGAAAAUGUCAGAGGGACCCUUAACCCAU